AGGACGCUAAAGACAAUUUUGAACAACCUAGACCACUUCAGGGUAUUCAAAAGUUAAUAUAUGUACACAAACACAGAAAAUCUACCAUAUAUGUGUAAUGCAAUUUUUUGCCGAGGAUGUUCGGGUGAACACCCUCACCUCCACUUAAAUCCGCCCCUGUGCGUUGCUGAUAACUGAGAUUAUAAGGAUAAGAAUCAAUCCAAGUCAAUUAUUAUUUCAUCACUUGCCUUCAAUGUGAUUCUUUGCUUAUAUACUUUACUCUGUGGCAUAAAUAGUUUGGAAUGGACUUCCUCCACUAUCUCAAUGUGUUAUGAAUGCUAGCAUUGCAGGAAUGAAGUUCACCUAUAGGAUAAAGUAUGGAUCGAUUAGAAUUUGGUUUUUAAAAAAAAAAAGUAACGUCUCUUGUUGAUCAAGGAUUGCAUGAUCCUACCGCCACCAACUGUACAGGGCCAGUGGUUGGGGUGACCGCCAAAGAUUUUUGGUCCAGAUGGUCAAACAAAUCAGUGCAAGUUUAGUUCGUUGUCAAUUCUAUGUACACAUACAACUCUCAGCAAUUGAUUCAACUUUUCUCAAGGUAAGCAAACAGCUACAAGGUAUUGGUAAUUACCAUUUUGGAGCGUAUAGACUGGUUAGUCUUGUCUUGAUGGAAGAAUUUAGUUAGGUUGGAGUUAGGAUGUGUCAUCUUUGACAAAAAGAUACAAGACCAGAUGUCUAUGGCACCAAAAGGAAGGAAAACUGCUACUACAAAUGGUUAUCGCCAAGUAUGGAGAUACUUUUAAAUCUUUGUGCAUUGGUUCCAAGAAGAAAUUAAGUAGCAGGAUGAGCUAAUUGCUCCAGAACAAUAAUUAUGUUCAGUAAGUUAAGAUUGACCAGGCUAUAUAUCGGGUGAGAGAAGUCGCCAACAUACACUCAAGUAUGUAGCACUCUAUAUUCUAGAGACUCUUAGACUUGACAUCAUCUUUCACAACAUAAAUGAAAUGAUUAUUUCUCUAAAACUUAAAAGGUCUUACCUAGGCAGUAUGGACAUAAGGCAGUCACAAAGAUACUACUCUUAAAAGGGUACAAAGGAUGAGCCGUCUAAAAAUUUUGAAAACAAGGAGUUGCAAAGAUGAAUAAUAUUUGAAUUUACGUGUGUAAAACAGUUAACUCUAGAAGUUAGGAGACUUUGUCUUGAAGUUGUGGUUGGGUACCAAAGACGCGCAUAGUUCUUUUCUUAUUUUCCUUGAGUAGCCGAGUGCUUGAACAUAUAGUAUCAGUUUCCAUGGGUUUUAUUUAAAUGGUUUGAGAUUCUUCUGUCUUGUAGGAUAGCUGGUUAGAUUUGUACAUGUUAAGUGAAUUCUCUCCGCUGUUGUAAUUGAAAUAAAUAAAACUGAAAUAGCGUCAAAAAAUUAUAAAGUAGGUGCUAUAACAUAUUGAUGUUUUGUUUGUAGGGUAGAUGGUAAUUGUUUGGGACAGUAGGUGGCCUUGGUUCGAGGAAGCAUUUCAUAUGAUUCGUGAAUUUGUAGUUUGAGUAUUAUUUCAGAUAUUGCGACCUAUUAUUUCAAUUAUACACACGGCUGCCCUCUACUAAAGAGUUCAACUAUAUUUGAUUUUAUAAGAAGCUAGACAAAAGACUAUCAACUCUUGGCAAGGUCAUGAUAAUUGAUUGUAGAACAUAUUCGUAACUGCUUUGUGUUGCAGUAACCAUCAAAUAUGUGAUAAGGUUUGAACUUCGAAGUUGA